UUUAGGUGUUCAUUCACUGGGUGCUAAGGAGUCUAAUUCAACACAUUGCUGGUGUUGUUUGUCUGUCGACCGUUACAGCGCCUAUCUGUGUUUCUUUCUUGGACUCCGACAUGUAGGAGGUGGCCAAGAUGUUGAUAAAAGUAAAACACAGAGAGACAAAGAAAUAUGCAAAAUUGGAAGAAGUCAGCUUCACAGAUUUUGUGAGAGCAGUGCAGCAGAAGUUUCUCAUACCAGAAAAUGCAGCACUGAAAGUCACGGAUGAGCAGGGUAUAGAGGUGGAUGAGGAUAUCUUUCCUGAACUUGCAGCAGUCAAAGAGGUGUGUUUUGUCAUCUAUACAGCUGAAGACAUCCUGGAAACACAAUCAUCCAAG
ensembl:lncRNA